CUACGUGCCAGCAGCCGCGGUAAUACGGAAGGUUCGGGCGUUAUCCGGAUUUAUUGGGUUUAAAGGGAGCGUAGGCCGGAGAUUAAGUGUGUUGUGAAAUGUAGACGCUCAACGUCUGACUUGCAGCGCAUACUGGUUUCCUUGAGUACGCACAACGUUGGCGGAAUUCGUCGUGUAGCGGUGAAAUGCUUAGAUAUGACGAAGAACUCCGAUUGCGAAGGCAGCUGACGGGAGCGCAACUGACGCUGAAGCUCGAAGGUGCGGGUAUCGAACAGGAUUAGAUACCCUGGUAGUCCGCACAGUAAACGAUGGAUGCCCGCUGUUGGUACCUGGUAUCAGCGGCUAAGCGAAAGCAUUAAGCAUCCCACCUGGGGAGUACGCCAGCAACGGUGAAACUCAAAGGAAUUGACGGGGGCCCGCACAAGCGGAGGAACAUGUGGUUUAAUUCGAUGAUACGCGAGGAACCUUACCCGGGCU
rnacentral:rRNA from 1 species